CACAGAGUGAAAGAGAUCUUUGGUUUUGCCUUUGCUGACUGCUGAUCUGAUCGUCUCCAGUCUGGUGACCUGCUGCAGAAAACCCUCUCCCUCUAUCAUUAACAAGCCAUUAACAAGCAAAUUCAGUCUGUCCUAUCACUCUCCCUCUCCCUGCUCCAUCUUUUUUGACAAGGGAUUCUAUCUUCUAUCAUUUCUCCGCCAUGAACUCUAUCUAAUUUUGACAAGCAUAAGCCCUAGUUUGACAAGAAACCAAGUUUGACAACAAACCAAGGUUGACAACAAACCAAGUUUUUGGAAAUUGAAGUUACCGCAACUUCGACGAUCUGUUUUCAGAAAUCUGAGAGAUCUCUGCUCUCACUGCUCCUUCUUUCCUGUCGUUAAACUCUCUCAUAUCCACUCAUUUUACUGGAAAUUACAAGUAAGAAGUUGAAUAUACAGUACAGUAGAAGUCACUGUAGAAACUACUUACACAGCCCUACAUUUGUCAUUUUAAUUUUGCAUUACACUUUGGAAUAAACAUUGAUUGGCUGUUUGGCUUACAGGUGCAAUUGCUUUGAUAAAUUAUAUAAAAUAUACACCUCUUAAAGGUUUAUUUGUAAUAAGACAAUCUGGUUAUUUUGUAAUAUAUACAUUCAGACUGCUCUAUUUACAUAAA